rnacentral:rRNA from 1 species
CAGCAGCCACGGGAAUACAGAGGGUGCGAGCGUUAAUCGGAUUUACUGGGCGUAAAGCGUGCGUAGGCGGCUUUUUAAGUCGGAUGUGAAAUCCCUGAGCUUAACUUAGGAAUUGCAUUCGAUACUGGGAAGCUAGAGUAUGGGAGAGGAUGGUAGAAUUCCAGGUGUAGCGGUGAAAUGCGUAGAGAUCUGGAGGAAUACCGAUGGCGAAGGCAGCCAUCUGGCCUAAUACUGACGCUGAGGUACGAAAGCAUGGGGAGCAAACAGGAUUAGAUACCCGAGUAGUCCCUGUCUCUUAUAA